CCUCCUCCCUCAGCGCAGCUUUGCAGGCGCUGGGGCUCCCAAAGGACGGAGCUUUGAAUCCACCUGGGAGGCUUAAGAGAAAGUGCUGAGUCCCCCAUGCCCUACCCCUGAGACUGCUGACAGGCAUCGCUGAGGGCUGCAGCUUUGGAAUCGGGCAUCUUCUGAGGAAGAGAAAGGCACCACAGCCACGGCACAGAAGACUAGUUCUAGGUGCAAUGUUUUAAGGGGAAGACUUACACUAUGAAGCUAGCCCAGAAGAGGGUGACUAGAGUACUGAGGAGUUUCUACCUGGAAGGGCUGUAAGGAAGACAACUGCUAUGUUGUGAGCGGCUCUAUGGAGAGGCCCAUGUGGAGGGAAGUGAGGAAGGCCUCUGGCCAACAGUCCAGGAGGAAGUGAAGCCCUCAGUCCAACAGCCUGUGUGGAACUGAACCCUGCAAACAACUCUGUGUGUGAGCUUGGAAGUGGAUCCAUAUUCAGUCAAACCUUGAGAUGGGACACCAUGCUCUGCUAACACUUGAUUGUGGUCCCAGCUAGGCCACUGCUGAAGUCUUGACUCAGAGAAACGAUGAUAUAGUAAAUGUUUGUUGUUUCAAGUUGUUUUUUAAAGAUCAAUGAUUGAAUUGCUGCUCGGCUGAUUGGAUAUGUCUUCUCGGAGACUCACCUGUCCUCCCCGAAG
rnacentral:lncRNA from 1 species